rfam:Ricinus communis cultivar Hale ctg_1100012362468, whole genome shotgun sequence.
GGGUGCGAUUAUACCAGCACUAAUGCAUCGGAUCCCAUCAGAACUCCGAAGUUAAACGUGCUUGGGCGGGGGUAGUACUAAGAUGGGUGACUUCUUGGGAAGUCCUCGUGUUGCACCCC